rnacentral:rRNA from 1 species
GACGAACGCUGGCGGCGUGCCUAAUACAUGCAAGUCGAACGCUUCUUUUUCCACCGGAGCUUGCUCCACCGGAAAAAGAGGAGUGGCGAACGGGUGAGUAACACGUGGGUAACCUGCCCAUCAGAAGGGGAUAACACUUGGAAACAGGUGCUAAUACCGUAUAACAAUCGAAACCGCAUGGUUUUGAUUUGAAAGGCGCUUUCGGGUGUCGCUGAUGGAUGGACCCGCGGUGCAUUAGCUAGUUGGUGAGGUAACGGCUCACCAAGGCCACGAGGCAUAGCCGACCUGAGAGGGUGAUCGGCCACAUUGGGACUGAGACACGGCCCAAACUCCUACGGGAGGCAGCAGUAGGGAAUCUUCGGCAAUGGACGAAAGUCUGACCGAGCAACGCCGCGUGAGUGAAGAAGGUUUUCGGGUCGUAAAACUCUGUUGUUAGAGAAGAACAAGGAUGAGAGUAACUGUUCAUCCCUUGACGGUAUCUAACCAGAAAGCCACGGCUAACUACGUGCCAGCCGCCGCGGUAA